GUCUGAUGGAGCAAUGCCAUGUGAACGAUGAAGGCCUAUUUGGUCGUAAAGUUCUUUUAGAGGGGAAGACUUUGACGGUACCCUCUGAAUAAGUGACAGCAAACUAUGUGCCAGCAGCUGCGGUAAUACAUAGGUCGCGAGCGUUAUUCGGUUUUAUUGGGCGUAAAGCAAGCGCAGGCGGAUGAACAAGUUCUGUGUUAAAAGCAGCUGCUCAACAGUUGUUUGCACCGAAUACUGUUCGUCUAGAAUGUGGUAGGAAGUUUUGGAAUUAAAUAUGGAGCGGUGGAAUGUGUAGAUAUAUUUAAGAACACCAGAGGCGAAGGCGAAAACUUAGGCCAUCAUUGACGCUUAGGCUUGAAAGUGUGGGUAGCAAAUGGGAUUAGAUACCCCAGUAGUCCACACCGUAAACGAUGGGUAUUGGAUGUCGGGCUUUGUGGCUCGGUGUUGUAGCUUACGUGUUAAAUACCCCGCCUGGGUAGUAUAUAUGCAAAUAUGAAACUCAAAGGAAUUGACGGGGACCUGAACAAGUGGUGGAACAUGUUGCUUAAUUCGAUAAUACACGAAAAACCUUACCAGGGUUUGACAUCCCUUGCGAAACCGUGGAAACACGGCGGAGGUUAUCAAGGUGACAGGUGGUGCAUGGUUGUCGUCAGCUCGUGUCAUGAGAUGUUUGGUUAAGUCCCGCAACGAGCGCAACCCUACCCCUUAGUUGUUUGUCUAAGGAGACUGCACAGUAAUGUAGAGGAAGGAUGGGAUCACGUCAAAUCAUCAUGCCCCUUAUGCCCUGGGCUGCAAACGUGUUACAAUGGUAGAUACAAUAUGUCUGCAAACCAGCGAUGGUAAGCUAAUCAUCAAAAUCUAUCUCAGUCCGG
rnacentral:rRNA from 1 species